rnacentral:rRNA from 1 species
GACGAACGCUGGCGGCGUGCUUAACACAUGCAAGUCGAACGGAAAGGCCCUGCUUUUGUGGGGUGCUCGAGUGGCGAACGGGUGAGUAACACGUGAGUAACCUGCCCUUGACUUUGGGAUAACUUCAGGAAACUGGGGCUAAUACCGGAUAGGAGCUCCUGCUGCAUGGUGGGGGUUGGAAAGUUUCGGCGGUUGGGGAUGGAAUCGCGGCUUAUCAGCUUGUUGGUGGGGUAGUGGCUUACCAAGGCUUUGACGGGUAGCCGGCCUGAGAGGGUGACCGGACACAUUGGGACUGAGAUACGGCCCAGACUCCUACGGGAGGCAGCAGUGGGGAAUAUUGCACAAUGGGCGGAAGCCUGAUGCAGCAACGCCGCGUGCGGGAUGACGGCCUUCGGGUUGUAAACCGCUUUCGCCUGUGACGAAGCGUGAGUGACGGUAAUGGGUAAAGAAGCACCGGCUAACUACGUG